CUCUGAGCUGCUGCCACCUGCUGGGCUGGAGCUGGAGCUGCGAAUUCGGAGUCCCGGUUCCCUGUGCCACCUGGCGAGCUCAGCAAGCUAAAAGUCUCUUUGUCUUCAUCGUUUCCGGCACUGAUGUGAGCACAUCAUAAGCACAAGACCUGGACACCUUUACAAUCAGAGGGCCUAGGACUGGAGCUCUGGAUCUGACCGGAGCAAAGAGGAAGCACGCAAAUCCGGACAUGACAACGAGGAGGCAGUAGAGACCCAUCCUCAACUGUUCUUGUCUUGGAGCCUCUUUCCCUACUUCUAAAUGAGUGGAAAGCCACCCACAGGCCCGUGAGUGAGGAUGCCCUUGGUAAACCCAGGUGAUCACACCCUGGGCAGGCCCUGCCCCACAGGGCCCCAUCCCGCUGCUCCCCAGCCUGUCCUCACCAACUGCCCAGGCAGGAGCAAAGCCCACGGGGAGGACCUAUGACCACAGGCAAGGACCACGGACCCCAGCCCCAGGGAUUUUGACCUCAAGAAAGGAAACAUCCACAAUUUACCCUCCAUCUGGUGACCCAGCCUGGGGUGGGUUUGGUCUCUGCUGGGACCAUGAGGUUCAGACCACCAAGAAAUAGCACUAGCACAGGUGAAAAUCAUGGGCAAACUUUAUUGGCAUAAAUCACAGGAAUUGAAAUGGGAAAAGCCAGGUUGGAAGUUUAC
rnacentral:antisense_RNA from 1 species